AUGCUACUCCCUCCAUCCAACAAAGGAUGUCUCAAGUUUGUCAAAAUUUGGAUGUAUCUAGACAUGACUUAGUGUAUAGAUGCAUUCAAAUUUUGUCAAAGUUGAGACAUCCUUUGUUGGACGGAGGGAGUAAUAA
rnacentral:pre_miRNA from 1 species